rnacentral:rRNA from 1 species
UGGUGGAGUGAUUUGUCUGGUUAAUUCCGUUAACGAACGAGACCUCGACCUGCUAAAUAGUUCGUUCAACAGCUUUUGUUUCUGUUGUUCGCGACUUCUUAGAGGGACUAUGGGUGUUGUAGCCCAUGGAAGUUCGAGGCAAUAACA